rnacentral:rRNA from 1 species
GGUUAAGCGACUAAGCGUACACGGUGGAUGCCCUGGCAGUCAGAGGCGAUGAAGGACGUGCUAAUCUGCGAUAAGCGUCGGUAAGGUGAUAUGAACCGUUAUAACCGGCGAUUUCCGAAUGGGGAAACCCAGUGUGUUUCGACACACUAUCAUUAACUGAAUCCAUAGGUUAAUGAGGCGAACCGGGGAACUGAAACAUCUAAGUACCCCGAGGAAAAGAAAUCAACCGAGAUUCCCCCAGUAGCGGCGAGCGAACGGGGAGCAGCCCAGAGCCUGAAUCAGUGUGUGUGUUAGUGGAAGCGUCUGGAAAGGCGCGCGAUACAGGGUGACAGCCCCGUACACAAAAAUGCACAUGCUGUGAGCUCGAUGAGUAGGGCGGGACACGUGGUAUCCUGUCUGAAUAUGGGGACCAUCCUCCAAGGCUAAAUACUCCUGACUGACCGAUAGUGAACCAGUACCGUGAGGGAAAGGCGAAAAGAACCCCGGCGAGGGGAGUGAAAAAGAACCUGAAACCGUGUACGUACAAGCAGUGGGAGCACGCUUAGGCGUGUGACUGCGUACCUUUUGUAUAAUGGGUCAGCGACUUAUAUUCUGUAGCAAGGUUAACCGAAUAGGGGAGCCGAAGGGAAACCGAGUCUUAACUGGGCGUUAAGUUGCAGGGUAUAGACCCGAAACCCGGUGAUCUAGCCAUGGGCAGGUUGAAGGUUGGGUAACACUAACUGGAGGACCGAACCGACUAAUGUUGAAAAAUUAGCGGAUGACUUGUGGCUGGGGGUGAAAGGCCAAUCAAACCGGGAGAUAGCUGGUUCUCCCCGAAAGCUAUUUAGGUAGCGCCUCGUGAAUUCAUCUCCGGGGUAGAGCACUGUUUCGGCAAGGGGGUCAUCCCGACUUACCAACCCGAUGCAAACUGCGAAUACCGGAGAAUGUUAUCACGGGAGACACACGGCGGGUGCUAACGUCCGUCGUGAAGAGGAAACAACCCAGACCGCCAGCUAAGGUCCCAAAGUCAUGGUUAAGUGGGAAACGAUGUGGGAAGGCCCAGACAGCCAGGAUGUUGGCUUAGAAGCAGCCAUCAUUUAAAGAAAGCGUAAUAGCUCACUGGUCGAGUCGGCCUGCGCGGAAGAUGUAACGGGGCUAAACCAUGCACCGAAGCUGCGGCAGCGACGCUGAUGCGUUGUUGGGUAGGGGAGCGUUCUGUAAGCCUGUGAAGGUGUGCUGUGAGGCAUGCUGGAGGUAUCAGAAGUGCGAAUGCUGACAUAAGUAACGAUAAAGCGGGUGAAAAGCCCGCUCGCCGGAAGACCAAGGGUUCCUGUCCAACGUUAAUCGGGGCAGGGUGAGUCGACCCCUAAGGCGAGGCCGAAAGGCGUAGUCGAUGGGAAACAGGUUAAUAUUCCUGUACUUGGUGUUACUGCGAAGGGGGACGGAGAAGGCUAUGUUGGCCGGGCGACGGUUGUCCCGGUUUAAGCGUGUAGGCUGGUUUUCCAGGCAAAUCCGGAAAAUCAAGGCUGAGGCGUGAUGACGAGGCACUACGGUGCUGAAGCAACAAAUGCCCUGCUUCCAGGAAAAGCCUCUAAGCAUCAGGUAACAUCAAAUCGUACCCCAAACCGACACAGGUGGUCAGGUAGAGAAUACCAAGGCGCUUGAGAGAACUCGGGUGAAGGAACUAGGCAAAAUGGUGCCGUAACUUCGGGAGAAGGCACGCUGAUAUGUAGGUGAAGUCCCUUGCGGAUGGAGCUGAAAUCAGUCGAAGAUACCAGCUGGCUGCAACUGUUUAUUAAAAACACAGCACUGUGCAAACACGAAAGUGGACGUAUACGGUGUGACGCCUGCCCGGUGCCGGAAGGUUAAUUGAUGGGGUCAGCGCAAGCGAAGCUCUUGAUCGAAGCCCCGGUAAACGGCGGCCGUAACUAUAACGGUCCUAAGGUAGCGAAAUUCCUUGUCGGGUAAGUUCCGACCUGCACGAAUGGCGUAAUGAUGGCCGGGCUGUCUCCACCCGAGACUCAGUGAAAUUGAACUCGCUGUGAAGAUGCAGUGUACCCGCGGCAAGACGGAAAGACCCCGUGAACCUUUACUAUAGCUUGACACUGAACAUUGAGCCUUGAUGUGUAGGAUAGGUGGGAGGCUUUGAAGUGUGGACGCCAGUCUGCAUGGAGCCGACCUUGAAAUACCACCCUUUAAUGUUUGAUGUUCUAACGUUGACCCGUAAUCCGGGUUGCGGACAGUGUCUGGUGGGUAGUUUGACUGGGGCGGUCUCCUCCUAAAGAGUAACGGAGGAGCACGAAGGUUGGCUAAUCCUGGUCGGACAUCAGGAGGUUAGUGCAAUGGCAUAAGCCAGCUUGACUGCGAGCGUGACGGCGCGAGCAGGUGCGAAAGCAGGUCAUAGUGAUCCGGUGGUUCUGAAUGGAAGGGCCAUCGCUCAACGGAUAAAAGGUACUCCGGGGAUAACAGGCUGAUACCGCCCAAGAGUUCAUAUCGACGGCGGUGUUUGGCACCUCGAUGUCGGCUCAUCACAUCCUGGGGCUGAAGUAGGUCCCAAGGGUAUGGCUGUUCGCCAUUUAAAGUGGUACGCGAGCUGGGUUUAGAACGUCGUGAGACAGUUCGGUCCCUAUCUGCCGUGGGCGCUGGAGAACUGAGGGGGCUGCUCCUAGUACGAGAGGACCGGAGUGGACGCAUCACUGGUGUUCGGGUUGUCAUGCCAAUGGCACUGCCCGGUAGCUAAAUGCGGAAGAGAUAAGUGCUGAAAGCAUCUAAGCACGAAACUUGCCCCGAGAUGAGUUCUCCCUGACUCCUUGAGAGUCCUGAAGGAACGUUGAAGACGACGACGUUGAUAGGCCGGGUGUGUAAGCGCAGCGAUGCGUUGAGCUAACCGGUACUAAUGAACCGUGAGGCUUAACCUU